rnacentral:rRNA from 1 species
UACGUAGGGAGCAAGCGUUGUCCGGAUUUACUGGGUGUAAAGGGUGCGUAGGCGGCUUUGCAAGUCAGAAGUGAAAUCUAUGGGCUUAACCCAUAAACUGCUUUUGAAACUGCAGGGCUUGAGUGAAGUAGAGGUAGGCGGAAUUCCCGGUGUAGCGGUGAAAUGCGUAGAGACCGGGAGGAACACCAGUGGCGAAGGCGGCCUACUGGGCUUUAACUGACGCUGAGGCACGAAAGCGUGGGUAGCAAACAGG